AUGACCGCCAUGUUUCUUAGAGCUCCUCCUCCAUCUCCCCUCCUCUCUUCUUCUUCUUCCUCUUUCCCUCUUGUCAAUCCUCUCUCGACCCGAAUCCCUUCCUCUUUCCUUGCCUUCCUAUGCUUCAAAACCCUAACCAUGCCACCGCCAAGAAGUGCAAGAACCCAUCUCUCCCGAUUCGUCUUUCCCAAUAAAACCUCUCCCUUCUCCCCUCUCUUCUCCAUCCCAAACCCCCAAGAAUCCCAUUGCCGUGCCCUUCCUUUCACCUCCUCCUCCCCUCUCUUCGAGAUCGCCCCCUUCAUCCAAUCCGAAUGGGAGCCGAUCCUCAAGGGCUGGAUCUGCAGCGCCGUCUCCGUCUACUGCCUAUCAAGUGCCAUCCCCCGGGUCGGUCGCUUCCCGUCGGCGAUGGCCGCCGGGAUCGGGUCCAACCGCAUGGUGCGGGAGGGCUUGGCGCUGGCGGCGCUGGCCGGUGCUCGAUCGGUUACCGGUUAUCUCCAGCAGGCUUUCCUGUGGGAGGCGGCGCUAAGAUCGGUUUAUAGGAUUAGGGUUCAUGUUUUCGAUCGGGUCUUGCAGAGGGAUCUGGGGUUCUUCGAGGGGAAUGAUGGUGUUCCGGCUGGGGAUAUAGCUUAUAGAAUCACCGCGGAGGCAUCGGAUGUUGCGGACACUGUGUAUGCACUGUUGAAUACUGUCGUACCAAAUACCUUGCAAGUGAUAGCGAUGGCAACUCAGAUGGUCGUGGUCAGUCCAGCUCUCUCAUUCAUGGCAGCAUUGGCCAUCCCAUGUACCUCAUUCAUCAUAGCAUAUCUGGGUCAAAGACUUAGAGAGAUAUCAAGGAACGCACACUUGAGUGUUGCUAGACUCUCAGCCUACUUAAAUGAGGUAGUUCCAUCAAUUCUUGCUGUAAAGGCUAACAAUGGAGAGUUGAAAGAAAGCAUGCGAUUCCAAAUGCUUUCCCUAGAUGAUCUGGAAAAACUCUUGAGAAAGAGGAAAAUGAAGGCUUUGAUGCCUCAGAUUGUACAAGCAUUGUACAUAGGAGGACUGCUACUAUUUUGUGCUGGUUCACUCGUUGUUUCAAAGAAUUCAUUUGAUGCAUCAGGGUUUUUGUCUUUUAUAAUGGCACUGACUCUCCUAAUUGAGCCUGUUCAGGAUGUGGGAAAAGCAUACAAUGAACUGAAGCAGGGAGAGCCAGCAAUAGAACGCUUGUUUGAUCUAACAAGGUUCAAAUCUAAGGUGAUUGAGAAACCAGAUGCGGUUGAUUUAGACUCCAUUACUGGUGACAUAAAAUUUUGUGGUGUUACAUUCCGAUAUGCAGACAACAUGCCUCCUGUUUUAAAUGGGUUAGAUCUCCAUAUAAAACCAGGGGAAAGGGUUGCUCUUGUUGGGCCUUCUGGAGGAGGAAAAACAACUCUUACCAAACUGCUUCUUCGCCUAUAUGAUCCUCAUUGUGGAUGUAUACUUGUGGACAAUCAUGAUAUUCAGGAUAUCCAACUGAAAAGUUUAAGAGAGCACAUAGUUCUGGUUUCACAGGACAUUAUGCUGUUUUCAGGAACAGUGGCUGAAAAUAUUGGCUAUAGAGACUUGAUUGGAAAAGUGAACAUGGAACAAGUGGAAAAUGCUGCGAGAAUUUCUAAUGCUGAUGAAUUCAUUGCCACACUUUCAGAUGGCUAUAAAACGAACAUUGGGCAAAGGGGCUCUCUUCUUAGUGGAGGACAGAAACAGAGGCUAGCUAUUGCAAGAGCACUCUAUAGGAAGUCGUCAGUACUAAUUUUGGAUGAAGCAACUUCCGCUUUGGAUAGCAAGUCCGAGCUGUUGGUCAGACAAGCAUUGGAGCGUAUGAUGGCUAACCAUACUGUUCUCAUAAUUGCCCAUCGGCUGGAUACAAUUUUAAUGGCAGAUAGAGUUCUCCUCCUGGAUAGAGGCAAGCUAGAGGAAGUGUCAAAGUCCUCUCUUCUUGCUCAAGAUGGUCAGCAUGCGUCGCUUGCAUUGAACAGUCAUCGUGUAAGCCAUAAGAGCGAUGAAGCAUAAUCAUACGCAAUUGAGGGCAGGAAACGAGAUUGACGCUCCAAUUUUAUGCACCGCGCUCUUAGUGGAGAUCCAACAAUUUGGGCAUCUUAGGCAUAUGCAAGCGGUGAAUGCACAAGAGCCUCACGAGAGCAUCAAACCAGAGUAUGACGCAUGCCUAAAUGGCUCAAUGUGCCAGCUUGAUGCCGUUCACAUAUAAUCCCCGACUGCAGCAAAUAUUUUUUUGUACUGCAUUAUUUGUUGUGUUAAUUUUAGCAAUCAGAUCUCAUGGUCUUGAGAAAAUCCACCCCUGUAAAGGUGGCACGAUAUAACAUUUCAAUGUAGGUAUUAUUUCAAGGCGUGAAAAAAAACAAAUACCUGUAAA